AAUAAAAUAAUUAUAAAGGUUAUAACAUAACCGUAUAAACUGUCAACUAUCAACCAACAGGGGGUUGUAAUAUAAAAGUUUCAAUAAAACGUUGACAGGACCUAAGUGUAAUAAAUAAGAGUUUUUUAUAAUAAAAACUAACUUGAGGUCAAGUAUUACUGUGCAGGUAAUUAACCCAAGACUCGUGACAAAAGAAUUAUAAAAGCAGAAGGGCCAAAGUGAAAAAGUUUCAAAUAUCCGUUAAUGGACCAAUCACAACGGCCGGAUUUUAUUAAGCUUAAUUAGUUACGAG
rnacentral:lncRNA from 1 species